rnacentral:tRNA from 1 species
UUCUUACAUUUAAUUCAACCCUUUUUUUCUAUUUGUUCUAUUUGAUUUGCGAUUCAACCGUUGUACUGUAAGGUGGGCUUUUUUAUAUAUUGAUAUAAAAUAUAUAUAUGGGUCUGCACUUUAGCGCAGAUCGACACGGAUUACGAGUAAUCCGUUCGUUAUUGCCAAAUCAAUUG